rnacentral:rRNA from 1 species
AGGAAAUAGAUACCCUGGUAGUCCUGGCAGUAAACGGUGCACGUUUGGUGUGGGCGCAAUCGACCGGCGUCCGCGCCGGAGCUAAACGCGUUAAACGUGCCGCCUGGGAAGUACGGUCGCAAGAUUAAAACUCAAAGAAAUUGACGGGGACCCGCACAAGCGGUGGAGUAUGUGGCUUAAUUCGAUGUCAACGCGAAGAACCUUACCUGGUCUUGUACAUGCAUUGUGUCUCCGGUCGAAAGCCGGAUAGGGUAGCAAUACCCGCUUUGCACAGGUGCUGCAUGGCUGUCGUCAGCUCGUGUCGUGAGAUGUUGGGUUAAGUCCCG